rnacentral:rRNA from 1 species
AUGAUUCGAGUGAAUACUCCAUCAGAAUUUGUUCAAAUUAUUGGGAUGACGACGGAUAGAAAUUAUGAGGUUUACUCUGCUAAUAGCCCUGAUCUGAAUGGCCUUGACCUUGGGUUCUUCAACUCGUUGCAAUCUCUAACAGAUUGUCUAAGCCCUAGAACGCUUCAAGAUCUUAUCAAGGGUGUGCUAGAUGAAUUUGAAAACUAUGAGGUUUACAAGCUGAACAGAGUUUUCCUAUCUCCACAAGCUUGCAUGGUUGAAAUCUUGAACCAUGCAGGGGGCAAUGGGUAUAAAAUACCCCAUGCGAACAAGGAAAGGCUAGAGAACCUUGGGAUGCUACCUCCAAGACUUACAUGCCCUCCAGAGGUAUAUGCAAAUGCCCUGCACAAUCUUGGGAUAAUGGAGAGAGUUGCUUGUUGA